UCUUUAGACUUCUCUGCCAACAGUCUUUUACUGUAUGAGGACAUCACUCAUGCUUCAGAUGUUUUAGGAAAGCGAGGAUCCUGCUUGUUGAAGAAAAAUACCAGUGAAGAAGGGAGGGACAAGCAUGCAGUGACAAGACAGUGCAGGCAGGUUGAUUACAGCAGAGUGAAGCAAUGCCGACUGACACCAAACAGCAUUUUCAUGAAGCAAUCAAGCCCUCAAGCGUGAAGCUUCUCUACAAACGGGACUUUAUCUGGAAUUGUUUAAACUGAACUUCAGGCUUGUAAUUCGGAUAAAUAUACAACAUAAAUGUUAUUUAUUAGAAGCACCUGCAAGGCCUUUGUCACUUUAUAGUUUACAUUUUAUUUUUGUGAGUCAUGUUACUGCAAACAAAUAAAUUCGCAACUGAUCAAAUUAGCACAAAUAAUUCCAUAGGUGUCGACCUGCUUCCCUGACCCGGCUGGUGUCUUUACUGAAUAAAGCAAUGACGCCCUCUACACUCAGCAAAGAUGACUGAGACACAGAUGUUCAUGUUUUCUCUCCACAAGCUUUUCUGAUCAAUAAACAGACAAGACUGCAUGUGCUUGUUGUUUUCAGUGGU